rnacentral:tRNA from 1 species
CGAGAAUGUGGUGUAAUGGUAACACGCCUGCUUUGGGAGCAGGAAUCGCAGUUCAAAUCUGACAUUUUCGACCA